rnacentral:lncRNA from 1 species
UUGCAGCUGAAUGGGGUAAAUAUGGAAUGCGAUUCAAUGUGAUUCAACCAGGGCCUAUAAAAACCAAAGAGUGUGUUUGGGGCAGGGAGGUCUGUUGUGGAACCAAUCCUGACAAUGCUGAAUGUCAUUAAAUUUGACGGUGGAGAGGAAGUACUUAUUUCAGGGGAAUUCAACGACCUGAGAAAGGUCACCAAGGAGCAGUGGGACACCAUAGAAGAACUCAUCAGGAAGACAAAAGGUUCCUAAGACCACUUUGGCCUUCAUCUUGGUUACAGAAAAGGGAAUAGAAAUGAAACAAAUUAUCUCUCAUCUUUUGACUAUUUCAAGUCUAAUAAAUUCUUAAUUAACAAACAUUCAUUGAAUAUGUAUUAUGUGCCAGGCCAGUGAUAGCCAUUGUAUAUUCAAAGAUAAAUAAAAUGAAAUAUAGUCCUUCAAAACAUU